GCUCUCAUAAUUUAUAAUAAAAUAUUGGUUUUGUAAACCAAAAAUAAGAGUCCCUUUAAGAGCU
rnacentral:tRNA from 1 species